GGAUGCGUGCCCGAACACAAGGAUUACUUUGAUAGAGUAAAUUAUAGGGAUUUACACUCCCUGGCCUCCC
rnacentral:tRNA from 1 species